GUGGACGACAGGUGUUCAAGGCUGAUGACGACCGUGUUAUGACUCCAGCAGCCAGGCCGGUUUUCUAUGGGAGCCAGAAUGGUUAAAAGAUGUUGCUGAAAACACUGGACGGUACCGGCUAAUUACUGAACACAACGGCUAAUUACUGAACACAACAAAGUUGUUGUACCAGUAGCUCGAAGUUCGUGGUCCAGCUCUUGCAUAUAUGGCUAAAAACAGUAGGAGCAAGCGGUACUGGAAACAAUG